rnacentral:rRNA from 1 species
AAUCAANAACGAAAGUUAGGGGCUCGACGACGAUCAGAUACCGUCGUAGUCUUA